CCUUGGGAUGUAUAAUCUCAAGAAAGAUCUUGUUUUCUUAAUCUUACAGUUUUGUGAUGAGGGAGGUUAUCAAGAAGCUGCCCACAUGCUUGAGAGAGUCAAAGUGGAUUUUACUUUGACAUGAACUACUUUGAGGACACUGUUCUGAGUGGGAAAUGGGAUGAGGCAGAGAGGUACCUCUCUGGUUUCAUGAAAUUCGAUGACAAUUGCUACUCGACGAAGAUCUAUUUCCAGAUCAGAAAGCAAAAUUCAUUGACAACAAUUGUCGAGCCAAGGCGUUAGAUAUCCUCAUGAAGGAUCUCAAAGUUAUUGCCGAAGGUAAUGAGGAGCUGUUCAAAGAAAUGCAUCACAUGUGUAUGGGUUCAAUCCAACAGGGAUCAUAAGGCACUCUCUAUGUGUGGAGAUAUAAUGUCUAUGAGGAAGACUAUGAUGAAAGAACUCAGGCAAAUAAUUGAGGCAAAACCAGUUUUCCCUGGCAAACUGAAGUAUCCUAGCAUCAAAAGUCAUAGAUUACAUAAUUUUCAUUAACCAAAGCUUGAAUUGGCAGCAUAAACAGUGUAAAGACCCUCAUCCAAAUCCAGUCAUUAAGACUCUUUUCGUUGAUCAUGUUUGUGAACCACAGGAAAAUAUUCCUUUGCCUCUACCAGUUGAAAACAAUUUGGAAGACUGUUUGUCUUUGUCUCUAUCGACUGGGAACAGUUUGCAACCUUCACAAGCAACAUCAAAUCCACUUCCAACUUCUUCUGCUGAGCCAAAAAUUUAUCUGUAACACAAGAUGCGC